rnacentral:lncRNA from 1 species
UUUUCACAACGUCUGGUCCCAAGCUAGAUCUUCGGGAAAAGGGAUCAAGGAAAUGACUAUUCCUCCAAAUAAAAUGCUGCACAUCUUUCAUGGAUUCUGGUCCACCUCGUCCUCACGCGGGGAUGCAGACUGACAAGCUUCCACCAUGAAGGGUUGUCAUUUGCCAUAGCAGGGAGAGGAAAAUGGAGCAAAUCAGUCACCAGCUCGUCAUACAGAAGAGUGUCCCACGUCAUAUCUGCUGAUAUGUUAUGGCCAAAGUACAUGACUAUCUCCAAGGAGCUGAGAGGUGAAAUUCGGACAUUUGUCUGGACGGAGUAGAACCAAGAGAGUCGUAAACAUCCUGUGGACUACACACCGUUUAACAAGAUGCAACAGUAUUCUGGCUUUGCCUUUCCUGGAGCCCUUAAACAGGCUGAAGUGAAAAGCACCAUGACCUGUCACUACAAGACGAGAAGCCUCAGGAGAAGGAAGGAGAUCCCUUUUCAUUGGUUUUGCCGAGUUUCCCGAGCUCCAUCCUCCUACAGUUAAAUCAACACUCUUUAUCCUUAGACUGCUGAUAAUCUCACCAACCGCUUCCUGUACAAACACCGGAAGUCAACUCUACAAAUUUUAGAUAAGAAAAAGCCAUGUCAGAGGGAGAUGCUCUCAGACGUGCAGAGACUUUCAAACUUCACCAGUACAUCAGUUCCUGCAAAAUAGACCAGAGAAGGUGCUUCCCGCAAAAUAAACAGGUAAGCAAAAUCUAAAAAGGUAAUGCAAGAUUGAAGAAGGCAAAGUGUAAAUAAGAACAGUGAUAUUUAGACUAGAGGGAAGUUUCAUGUUUUUUUGUUAAAAUGCUUUUGAAACGAAAUGCAAAUGUAAGGACAAUCCUUGCCAAAAAUACUGUAUAAUGGAAAAAUAAAUUUUUAAAGGC